AUUUAAAUAAUGGGUACCCGGCUGCACUCGGGUCUCUUACCACCACCCCCUUCCACUGUUUCCCCCUCUUCACCCCAUCUCCCCCUGACCCCCUUGUUCCCUUCUUCUUGGUCAACCCCUUUCUCCCUCCCCUCGUCCUCUGCCUGCCCCACUCCCCCCUCCCUUCCCCCCUACUUCCCCUUUUCUAGGAAAAUGUAUUAUCAAAAUUCGAUGAAAGAACUGUGACUCUCAGAAAAAAAUAUUACUAUCACUAAAACUGUAGGGGGAAUCGCACCAAAUAUUUCACACUUGACACCAUGAAAAUCACACAGAGGGGUCUUCAUAACUGUUAAUAUUUCUUAAAGUAUCUAUCAUGGGCCUACCGUGAUCAACCUAUGUUCGUCCCAUACCCCAGACCAUUCCCCGUGCAAAUUUAGGCGAGGUUAGACGCUAGUUCCAAGUGUCUGACCUUCAAUUGUUGACAAACAAUAGCUCUCGUAUAACAAAUAUACAUAUUCUAGUCAUGGUAAAUAUGUUAAUAUAUUUAAGGCUAACAAUAUACAAAUAUAAAUCGAAAAGCCUUUUCAAGAGUACGUAAAGUCUGAGACGCCUAACAGACUGUACGGUAGCACAGUGUGGUCGUGGGGAAUCUGAUUGGCUAACUUGCUUUGACGUCACUGUUAACAAACAAUCCAAUUUGUCUAUUUUAAGUGACGUCGACAGGGUAAAAAAACGCUGUGAUUGGUUCAUUCGGUAGCAAGCAACGUUCUUGCCCGGUUCGUUGCAUGACGUAAUUACACGUCGUUAUUGUCGUAAAAAUGCUGUGUGAUUAGCUGGCCGGCGCAGCGGCGGUGGUUGGAACUGAUAAAAACGACCUAAUCUAAUCUAGCGAAUGGCCGAAAAUUCCCUGAGCAGACGUGAAAAUAAUAGACACUCGGCCGGUGGCAAGACAUAAUGACGUCAUGUAAAAUCAACCAAUCAGUAUUAGCGGCCCAAUGUCCAUGACAAAUCGACUCUCAUCAGCGGAUAAAUAGCCAGGAGGUGAUUGGACGAGCUUCUCGCUGACUCCGAUACUUUUCAACAAGAGCAAAGAAGCUAGACGUUAAGCUAAGUUAAGCUAAGCACCUGCCCUUUCAUUCGUGACCUUUGACCCAGUGUGUGUGUACUACGGGCUCACCAUAGUUCGUGCUACUUGGAACUUUUUGUUCCCGGUAGCGAAUCAUGAACAACAACAACAACAACAUUUGACCCAGACAUAGCUAAAAAAAAAAAUACAGUAAGGGAACUAUCAAGAGAAAGCACCAAGCCAUUAAGACUAUUUACCACUUGGAACGGAUCGUGAAAAGGAUUAAUGAUAGAUGGAACGGCGGGGAAAAAUAAUUGUGGCCAACCACGUGGACAGUCGGGGGAUUGAACGCCGACCUGCAUGAAGCGAGACCGUCGCUCUACCGUCCAGCCCAAGCAAUAAAAGAAUGGUGGUUGGUUCACUGAGGAGAAGAUGCUGAAGACAGCCCCCAAGCUGCGGAAGGGGAAACAAUUGUCUAUAUAUAACUAUGAACAAACUCUCACUCAAAAACACACACACAUAAAACGAUUUAAUGUCAACGUGAGAGGGAUAACGAAGCUCCGUCAAUGACAAUUUGACAUUAAGUGAUUCAUUGUUGGGUGAUGGUGACACAAGAGUGGUGAUGUUGUCAUUGUACCUGUGUGGUGGUGGUCAUGUGAGGAUAUGUGGGAUAUGUGGACGAGGAGCUGGGAUAUGAGGACGAGGAGCUGGGAUAUGAGGCCGAGGAGCUGGGAUAUGAGGCCGAGGAGCUGGGAUAUGAGGCCGAGGAGCUGGGAUAUGAGGCCGAGGAGCUGGGAUAUGAGGCCGGCUUGUAAGAACGGGCCCAACUACUUGAACCUUCUGGGAUCAAACGCGAACCCUGCAAGAAACGGAGAGUUGCUGCACCAAUUAGUCCAAGUGGAUGAUAAAAAAAGAGUAACUUAGAAAGGACUUGACGGAACGUUAAUAAAAUGAACGAAGGUAAAGGCGGUGACCCUAAGGAUUGAGACGAGUUAAGAAGUCAGUCGACGGAUGAGAUAUAAAGCCUUCGUAGUCGCGGUUAAAGUAGCGAGACUUUACGGAUCAGUAACAUUAAAGCGGCUUAUACAGUACAAAUGCGAAUGAUAUAACAUAUAAGUUAUAUACCACGGAAUAUAUACACCUGCACAUCAUUGCAAGUACAGAAAUGACAUUUACAACAAUCGUGUGGAUGAGCGUAAGGAGGAUUGUGAAGUUUAAUCUUGCGCUUAAGUGUAAGUGUGAGCUUGAAGGUAAGGUUGAGUGUUAGCUUGAGCGAGGACGCACCAUCACAGUAAAUUACACAGUGUCUGUGUACCCGCCUUCCUCCCUGUGCCAGCCGGGUAAACUCGUGUAUUUCUUAAGACUUCGCGGAGAUAAUGAACACCAUUAACUUACUUGAAGACCUACUUAGCUGAAAAUCUUAAUUAUACCAAGCACGAGGAAAGAAAUUUGUCUCGCUCAGUGCUAAUGAAAUUCAUUCAUUCACACAGCGCAAUAUAAUUUUUUAAAUAAAACAACGAACCCAUUUUUAUUUUGUUAUGUGUUAAUAAUUUUAUAGAAAUAAUGUAUACUCGAAGUUUGGGAAGUUACUAGACCCCAUAGGCUUAUUGCUGCGACAAUUUUCGGUCCCAAACCUUGGCCUAGCGUCACCACACUGGCUGAAGCAGGAUGCUGAUGUUCAGUUAUCGAAACUGUCCAAUUUCAGACCCAUUUUCGGCCCAGCAUACUUCACAUCAGUCUGGUGACGGAGACAGUCACUACACCAGGCGUUUCUAUGACGCUCUGAAGGCUAUGUAUAUGGACCACAGCCCUCUGGAGCUCUGCUUCCCUCCUCCCUGCUGAUGAGACUCUGCUGCUGACAUACAAGAAGCAGUUCUUGGACAGAUGAGUUGAACACAUUGAUCAGGUCCUUAGCCGUCCUGCCUCAGUCAACGAUGAGACCAUUGCUCGCCUCCCUGAAGUGGAACACGGAGGAUAGUCAUCUCUACUGACAUGACUAAACCUGGAUCCUGACACGAGCCUAAUACAGAGUUAAGAAUGUUCUGCGUGUUAGCAUACCCACUGACAUACCUCAUAUUAUACAGCUCAAGAAGGGAAUUUCUUGGUACUGAAGGAAGCAGACGCAAUAUGUCACAAGUGAUACCAUCUUCGCUGGGGGAUGUGGUUUUACCUUUGCUUAGGGUCGAGAGUAACUCAAACUCAGUUAGUGGCACGGUGCAUACAUCUUCCUUGUGGAGCAUGAAGUCAUCGAGGCUUUCUCGACCGCCAUAACCAUCAUUUAAUCUGAAUCGUUGGAGGAUAUUGUGACUGCCAAGGUGUGACGUCACGAGCGCCUGCCAGCCUCGUUCCAAGGAAGCACUGCUAGAGACAUCAUAUUAUGAUGUGCGAUUGUUUAUACACAGAUCAUUUGAUUCUCGAAAUGAAUUAAUUUAUAUUAUUUUAUGUUUAAGGAUUGUUAAUUACUCAGCACCGUAGGGGAUAUUUUCCGCAUCCUUCUCGCAUCCUCCCAUCCCGGCACGACCCCUUCCUUUCCUUCCCAUCUCUUCCAACCCGGGCACGACGCCCCCCCCCCCUCCUCCCUACUUCGCGCAAUGAACACAACAGCAGCAGCUGGGAGCCACGAGGCUUAUCACGUGACCAAUCAUGGAUUCCUUUUAUCUCACAGAGGUCGAUGUCAACAGCGGUGCCCCACUCCCCCCUUCCUCGGGGGCACGGCCCCCUCCCCUUCUUCCCCAGGGGCACGGCCCCCUCACCCAAGGGGCAUGGCUGUCUCCAGGAGGCAGAGGCUGCUCAUCGUUGAGAGCGGCGCCACGCAGGCCAUCAGAACGUCAACAACAAUCAGGUGGAAGAAGACAUGGCCACGGUAAUGAGCCGAGCGGGAAGGUCUGCUUCACAUAUAUUAAGCUCAUAAACAAGUCACUACCACGCGGCUUUUAAGAGGCAUUCAACGCUAAAAAUGAUUGGUCUUGACGAAUCAAAGGUUGGGUUUAGUACGCAUAAUGCUGCGUGUGGCACUACAGCAGACCCAAACUGGCCUGUGACGCUCCACUACCCCACUUGUAUCAUGCGAGAGGCUAGCCCUUAACGUCUGGCCUUCAACCUUAAAAUUCGGGCGGGAUCCCGGUCAUGUGGACAAGCAGCAACGAGCUCGACAAGACGACCUGGAGGUGGUUAUCUGGGUACACUGUCCUUCAGCUGGUCUCACACUGGCGGGCUCGGGCGACCACAGAAAAACAGGGAAGGCGACGAGGACUGUCUCGGGUACUGAAGAACGUCUCUAAGAACGGCAUGAAGUGAAGACGUUGCCUGUCACCGUCACGGCUGUCAUCUGUAACACAAGUCUUGGAUGUAUGUGUUUGGCAGAAAAUGGCCUGGUUCCCGAAUGAAGUUGUAAAACAUUAAAAUUUUAAACAGCUCAUGAUCUUAAAUACCUUAGCCAUGAGGUCUCUUAAUGCUUAAGUCUAUGCAGAUUGUCACUAACGACCUGAAGUGUCGUUGGGGCAAUGUUUAACUCAUUGGUUAAGGAAACUAUUAAUUGCUUGUGACUUCAAUGUCACAAUGACAACCCCCCCCCCUGACCUGCAUUGGUCCAAUGUCAGGUGAACCGCUGACAUGGGAACACACCUGUAACCCGCCCCCUCCCCUCGCCUACAGACCUGUGUAGGUGCAUUACUUGUAAAAUCUGGUUGUAGCGCACUUUUUGGACCUCGCUCCGUGACCUCGGUAGGUACAUUAUUUACAUAGAGUAGGACAGAUUUUUUGUCCUGUUUGGCAGUUACUAUCUGGAAGAGAACGAUGGCUAGACUUUCCAGUGUUAUAAAAUGCAUCUUUACAGGGUUUUGCAUUUCUAAUUGGGCACCUAAAUCACUUGCAUAGUUGCCUAUAUUUCUUUAUCCACAACUCCAUUCCAUAUUGCGAUCCAGAAUGGCGGUAGUAAAUCUCUGUAAACUAUUGGAAGUUUCUUCUAUACAUCAUAGAUGCAUAUUGAG